ACACACCCCCAACUGCUAACACCCAGCUGGACCUUGAUUGCAGACUGCUAGCAGUACAUUCAUUACUUCUAGCAGGAAUACUAAAGGAAUGGCACAACCUAGAGUCAUAAGAAUAGAUGCUCCAGAAUUCUCUACAUGAUGAGUGCAAGUAGCUACUUAAACAGACAUGUUAGGAGAGGCAACAGGACCUCUUUACCUCCAGCUCUAGUAAUCAGCACUAGAGUAAGCAGUGGUUUAGGGCCAGCACCCCCUCAUUUGCCCUAUAACAAUAGUAGAUGCCACAUAUCAAAAUGAGCCCUGUGUUAUGGUGCCAGGUAUUGUCACCUAGGACAAAAUGGCCUAGUGUUUGUUUUGCCACAUCCGUGACACUUGGGCCAGUACCCCUUUCCAGUGUAUUUUUACUAGAGAGGGCAGUCCUGAACAGGUUAUGGCCACCCAACGAGAUGGUACCAACCAGGGCUGGGUCCCAAUCCAACCUGGGCUGGGCUCCAAUCCAACCAGGGCUGGUUCCCAGUCCAACCAAGGCUGAGCCCCAAUCCAACCAGGACUGGGUCCCAAUCCAACUAGGGCUGGGUCUCAAUCCAACCAAGUCUGGAUCCCAAUCCAAUCAGGGCUGGGUUCCAAUCCAAUCAGGGCUGGGUUCCAAUCCAAUCAGGGCUGGGUCCACAUUCUCCAGGGGUCCCAUAGUAGCCACUCUAUGGUAUGGCCUUAUAUGCCACUAUAGGAACAUGAUAAAAACAUGAAACACUUUGUAGACAUUUCUACAUUCAGAAUCCACUAUACAUAGUAAUUACUGUACCAAACGAAUCACAGGGCCGCAGCGUCCCAAAAUGUAGAAGACGUCAUCAGCACACCAUAAAACCAGUCUAUAGACCUUACAUAUUGUAUUUUCAAUUUUACAGAAAAAAAUGUUCGUCAUGUGCAAAGUAAAAAUUUCAAAUCUCCUGGCGGAAUAUACAUAUACAUGUUCUUCCAUUUGCACUUCAGGUUUCCAUUAUCGACGCAUCAGCAGGUGAGGACAUGUCCAGAUACAGCUUUUGCCCAACUCUUGAGCCCAUAAGUAAAGUUAAGGAGACUUCCUAGGAAAUUAUUUUAACCUUCUCCAAAGAUCCUGUGCAGCAAACCAUGACUGAUCCCUUCACCCCAUCAACCGUACAGCUAUAGGGAGACAUGUCUUAGGCUUCCAUCUCCUUGAGGACCUCUACCACCAUCUCCUUGAGGACCUCUACCACCAUCUCCUUGAGGACCUCUACCACCAUCUCCUUGAGGACCUCUACCACCAUCUCCUUGAGGACCUCUACCACCAUCUCCUUGAGGAUCUCUGCCACUAUCUCCUUGAAGACCUCUACCACCCACUCUCUCUAAAGGUCAAUCAGUGAGUCUAUUCACCCAUAUGUGUGACUUGAAGUCUGCAAAUUGGCUCAUCAGCAAAACCAGAGACAUUUUGGAGGAGUCUCUAGGUUGGCUGACAUUAUUUGCAUACUUUUUUUCCCCAUGGAGCAUUGCCUGAAAAUAAAUCUCUAUGCACCCGCUAGGUCUCUUUAAUAAGAUCCAAUAACUCUCUAUCUUUUGAAAUCUAAAGGCCCCCAUACACAUAAGGCUAUUUUUAGCCAAACCUACCAUUUUUGGAAGGACUGGCUGAUGAUCUAAUGUGUCGAGGGAGCUCCUGACUCUUCCCUGUCCGGUGCAUGUUGAAUUGUAAUGCCGAUCCUUUUGUUCUCCUGGAAGAUAAGCCACCCCCAGUAAUGUCUGGACGCUGCCUACUCCUAGAGUCCUGAAGAACUGUAAUCUGAUCUACAAUGAGACCAUUAUUGAAGGUGUCUAGAGGAAGAACUCAGGUCACACCAUACUCAUGACUAUGACAUGCAGGAAACAAAGAGCCCCAACAUGUCUUAGACUGGGGGUGACCAAGGGCAAAGCCAUAACCUAGAGUCUCUGGGCCCCGGAACAAAAGCUAUACCUGGAUUCACAACCAACCACUAGAUGGAGUUGCUUUGUACAUAAUCUAUAUAUAUAUAUAUAUAUAUAUUAUAGUAAUGUCUGGUGUAUUACACCAUUGCAUUAUCUUGUCGUUGCAUCAAUGAAAAGCUUGGAUGAAGCCCCCAGACCCCCGGCCUCACCCAACCUUCAGCCAUAGGACCUCUGCUAUAUCUAUUUACUGAUAAUCCCCCCUGGUAAAGUGGAUUAUUGACCAUUUUGUUAAACCAUCCUAACUUUAACCCUUCCAAAUACUGUAUAUACAUAAACCUGCUAUCCUGUGCUUACAGACAAACCAAUAUAAAAAAGUAAAAAAGUGCAUCUUGUGUGAACACAUACAUACUAUUUGUGCUAAAAAAAAGUGCUCUAUAACUCUUCUUUAUGGAAAUCAAAGCUUCCCCUUUAAAUAGGUUAAGACACCGAGGAAAUGCAUACCACUACAACGCUAUGCAACAGUCCAAACCACAGAACGUAGUGUGAGAGCAACCACGCAACAAAUACAACAGGCGACGCAAAGUCCAAAUUUCUUUCCAGCGACGUUUCUUUGAAAUGUCUCUUGUUGGUCACCUGUUCACACCUGAGCGCUCGGUCCUUUCUAAGAGGGGUGAGUUAUGUUGAUUCAAGGAGAAGAAGAGGUAGAAAUAUCUGUAGUGUAAAAAUUCUCUGGAUGGGGGUUCUAGUAGAUUACAGUAAAAAAAAAA